GAUGAACGCUGGCGGCGUGCCUAAUACAUGCAAGUCGAGCGAACGGACGAGAAGCUUGCUUCUCUGAUGUUAGCGGCGGACGGGUGAGUAACACGUGGAUAACCUACCUAUAAGACUGGGAUAACUUCGGGAAACCGUAGCUAAUACCGUAUAAUAUUUUGAACCGCAUGGUUCAAAAGUGAAAGACGGUCUUGCUGUCACUUAUAGAUGGAUCCGCGCUGCAUUAGCUAGUUGGUAAGGUAACGGCUUACCAAGGCAACGAUGCCUAGCCGACCUGAGAGGGUGAUCGGCCACACUGGAACUGCGACACGGUCCAGGCUCCUACGGGAGGCAGCAGUAGGGAAUCUUCCGCAAUGGGCGAAAGCCUGACGGAGCAACGCCGCGUGAGUGAUGAAGGUCUUCGGAUCGUAAAACUCUGUUAUUAGGGAAGAACAUAUGUGUAAGUAACUGUGCACAUCUUGACGGUACCUAAUCAGAAAGCCACGGCUAACUACGUG
rnacentral:rRNA from 1 species